UACGGAGGGUGCGAGCGUUGUCCGGAAUCACUGGGCGUAAAGGGCGCGUAGGUGGCGCGACAAGUCAACGGUGAAAGCUCGGCGCUCAACGCCGAGUCGGCCGUCGAUACUGUUGGGCUUGAGCACUGUAGAGGCUAAUGGAAUUCCGGGUGUAGCGGUGGAAUGCGUAGAGAUCCGGAAGAACACCGGUGGCGAAGGCGGUUAGCUGGGCAGUUGCUGACACUGAGCGCGACGAGCGUGGGGAGCAAACAGG
rnacentral:rRNA from 1 species